AUGUGGGAAAACGCACCAGUACGUGAACUCCUCUACGUGGAAAAACAAUGCAAAGACUUCCAAAAAUUAAUUCCAGAAUGCCUCAAGGAGGGUGGGGUGUUAAACAUCUGCCAGGAGGAAUCUGCCAGCUUGCUCCCCCGGAGUACAGUCCAGGGUCCCCCGUGGCUCCAGGACGGGACUGACGGGACCUGGGGAAGCCACACCACGGAGUACUCCAGGACUGCAGAGAGAUUUCUUAAUUCUGUUCCUUUCCCUGAGCGAGUUCAGGGAAGACACGGUUUGGGUGCGUGAGGAUUAAUGGGACUGUCCGUGUCAAAUGCCUGAUGCAGGUCCCAGGUCCCAGCAGGCAUGAAGGGCACUUAUGACGUCAUGAUCAUCACAGCGUCUCCACGGACGAGGGCAGUCAGCCAGCCUGCAGCGACCGUGGAGAGCAUCAUGGGAUGGCGACAGGCUGCCCUGUUCCCAGGGCUUGGUCCUCAGUCUAGCUGGGGAACAUUGUCGCUAGUGACGUCAAGUAUAUUUUGUUCCCUGGAUUCCAUUCCCAGUACAACAAAGGGAUCAUCUUUUUCCUCCUGUCCUUAGACCAUCUUGAUUCAGUCACUCAAUAAGCAUUCCAUCAGCGCUUACUGUGAGCUGCAGGCACCAGAUUUAAAACUUCAGGUGUACUGGGCUCCUCACCCUUGAGGAGCUCCUGGCCCAGCCACAGAAGCAGACAGUGGGCAAACAUGGAGAACUGUUUUGUGGGUGCUGCGGGGUACACAUAGACGGGGUCCGGAUGACCUCCAUGAGGAGGUUACCUUGACUUGCAUAAAGAAUGUGAGUGGCUGUGUCUGUAUGAUUAUUUACUUAAAAUCAAAAGUG
rnacentral:lncRNA from 1 species